UGUAAAAUGUUGGUCAUAUGCUCAGCCCUGAAGCAUGCUCACAGAUGGGAGGAAGACGGGGCCGCUGUGUGCCUGCUUCUGUUAGCAUAGCCAGUGUUUCUCACCCAUCACUACUGAAUCAAGUCUUCUGAUCAGCAAGCCAGGACUUCCGGAGUAAUUCUAAAAAGCCAGUGGGUCUUGUCCAACCAGACCCUGUACAGACUAGGAGGUCUGGGAUAUUCUGUGACAAUUCCAGGCUGAAGCAGAAAAGCAGAGGCUACAGCAUGUUUCCCGUCACUGUGGUUCCCUGGAGGCGAAUGCUCACGGCUCCUCCUUAGGGGCCUCCAGCUGACCACAGCGCCCAACGUAGCCUGCACUGAAUGAAAGAUUCACCCAUGGACUCCACAUGUAUUUGCCCAGUUAAACUCACAGCGGUCCCAUGAGGGAAGUGAAUGAUUAGUUUGCACAUUGAAAUGGGAAUUGGAAGACAACAACAUUUGACAUACUUGGCCUCUUUUGCAAUUUUCUCAUCAAAGGCAAGUUCUCUAUAAAUGUCUAACAGAAAUGACUUACAAUAAUUAGGCCUUCUCCCUUCUUCCGUUUA
rnacentral:lncRNA from 1 species